CGGACCGGCGCACGGGUGCGUAACGCGUAUGCAACCUACCUUUAACAGGGGGAGUAACACUGAGAAAUUGGUACUAAUACCCCAUAAUAUCAUAGAAGGCAUCUUUUAUGGUUGAAAAUUCCGAUGGUUAGAGAUGGGCAUGCGUUGUAUUAGCUAGUUGGUGGGGUAACGGCUCACCAAGGCGACGAUACAUAGGGGGACUGAGAGGUUAACCCCCCACACUGGUACUGAGACACGGACCAG
rnacentral:rRNA from 1 species